AUUGAACGCUGGCGGCAUGCCUUACACAUGCAAGUCGAACGGCAGCAUGGAAGAGCUUGCUCUUCUGAUGGCGAGUGGCGAACGGGUGAGUAAAGCAUCGGAACGUACCGUGUAGUGGGGGAUAACGUAGCGAAAGUUACGCUAAUACCGCAUACGCACUGAGGUGGAAAGCAGGGGAUCGCAAGACCUUGCGCUAUACGAGCGGCCGAUGUCAGAUUAGCUAGUUGGUAGGGUAAAGGCCUACCAAGGCGACGAUCUGUAGCGGGUCUGAGAGGAUGAUCCGCCACACUGGGACUGAGACACGGCCCAGACUCCUACGGGAGGCAGCAGUGGGGAAUUUUGGACAAUGGGCGAAAGCCUGAUCCAGCCAUGCCGCGUGAGUGAAGAAGGCCUUCGGGUUGUAAAGCUCUUUCGGCUGGGAAGAAAUCGCACAGGCUAAUACUCUGUGUGGAUGACGGUACCAGCACAAGAAGCACCGGCUAACUACGUGCCAGCAGCCGCAGUAA
rnacentral:rRNA from 1 species